rnacentral:lncRNA from 1 species
CACCUGCACAGAUCAUAGAGUCAAUUAUGUAUGAAAAGAAAAAAUGUAAGAAUUUAAACAUAUAUUUAUCUUUUUCUUUAUAUUUUCUGCCCGCAAAUUACAAAUCAAUUGCAGCCAGUUUGAAUAAUAUUAUAAGUUUUAAACCAUGUUUAUUUCAGAAUCACAAAUAAUUAAAGAAUUGAUUUAAGGUUGUUCAUCUAAUUCUACUCAAUAUCUGAAAUAUCUAAAAGAUGAGUUCCUACCUUUUAGCUGGUGUCAUUUGAGAAUUUCAGAAAGUUCUCAGUUAUACAUUUCGGAAAAAUUUUACGCACUAGACUACAAAUAAGUUUCAAUAGUAUGCAAGAUAAAAGCAAGAAAACUCCUGCCUGCAGAACUUGUUAUCUUGGACUUCUACUUCGUACAACAGAAUUCAGCAUCACAUUAAGGAAUAUGAUUCAUGUCCAUACUUAGCGAUGGAGCAUGUAAAAAGAUAAGUUUUAUGUACAUUCAGAAAAAAGAAACUUGGAAAUCCUAACAAUUGUUUGACAUACCAGUUUAGUAAUAAAAAGGAAAGUUUUUUAUGGUGCACCAAUUUUGAAGAAUUAAUUCAAUCUGGAUCUUCAUAUAAAAUUUUGCUCCUUGAGUUCUCAAUGGUAGUACAAUUAUGAAGCCAGGAGAGUAACUAGAUUAAAAAAAGUUUUACCUGUGAAGGAAGCAUUUUUGAGCUCGAAGGAAUGGAGGUCAUUGAUCUGGAGGAUAAACGGAGAGCUUAAAUACAAUGCCUUUGUUGCCUUGCUUCUCAGCCUCAUCUUUCAUCGUUUUCUUACACUGCUGGAUUUUCCGGGCAGAAGCAGCAGCUGAUUUGGUGGUACAGUACAAGUCAAUUAUCUGGAGGCUUAAAACAUCUGCAAGGCUGACUGGGACUGCUUCGAGGCUAGUGCAGUGUUUAAGAUAAAGACUCCUGAGUCUUGGGAAGUGAUGAGUCGAAGCAUGCCAAUGAACUAAAUCUGUCCUUCCAAUAAACAAGACUUUGAGAGCACGGAAACCUCCAUCCUCUGGCUGCCACCACUCUCCCUUGAAUGCAUUGUCUUUCAACUUUAGGAUCUCAAGGCUUUCCAACAUUCCCAAUGUAGCCAUUUGACUCCAAUCAAGAAGGGUGUCUGCCAGUGUUAGUUUCUUUAGCUUUGGUGGAAAUUUAUACCUUUGGGGAAGGCCAGCUAGUUUGCCUUCCGAAGGAGGCAAAGGAAAUACAUCAUUUAAUAGCUUCAAAUUUUCAAGGUAAUCCAAUUUUCCCAGGCUAUCAAACAAACUCGACACACCUUUGGAUUCCAAAAGUUUAGCUAAUUUGCCACGAAUACCCAAUUUCUUUAGGUUUGGAGCUCUGGCAAAUACAUCUUCUGUACAACUUUCAGGUGAGAUUGUAGAAAUUGUUUUUAGGUUAGCAUUUAUCAGGGAAUCAUCUUUACUUUUUCUUGAUUUAGCAAGAGGACCUGGUAAAGAUGUGGACGCGUUUGUUUUUAGAUGCCUCAAUUGAAUCAUCUUCCAUAUAUCUCCUUUGAUUUCAAGGGUUCGUUCUGAAGUCUCAACUAUAAGAGUUUGCAUGUUCCAAAGGCUAGAAAUGGGAGAAGGAAGGAUCUUGAAAUUGCUGGACAGAACAAGAUACCUCAAAUGAACGAGUUGAGCUAGAUCAGUAGGAAAACGAGUGAAAAAAAUGGGUUUAGCAUCUAAAACCCUGAGCAAUUUAAAUGCUCCAGGGAUGGAGGAAGUGUGUUCAGCUUGCAGAAUAAUUUCUUCAGAAGAGAAACACAAGAAAGACCGAACACGUGGACCAAAUGGUUUUGAAGAGAUAUAACUCCAAACACGGGAAUGAAUGCAAAGGCGACGAUACGAUUCCAAGUAAGGAUUGGAAGACGAAUAGGUAACUUGAUCAAACCGUUUAAUUUCUUGGAAGAAGUUUUCCUCUGCAGCUUGAUUCUUGCAGAACACGUGUAGCAUGUCAUGAACAUGGCAUGUUUUAACUUUUCCAUUUGACCUCCGUUCUCCAACCAUGACUAAAUUCCUGUUGACAAGAUCGUCUAAGUACUCCUCUGCAAUAUCCUCCAAGCUCAUUCCCUCCUUUUGUUGUAUGAAUCCUUCAGCGAUCCAGAGACGAACCAAUUUCCACACUGGGAUUUGGCAAUCUUCUGGAAACAUCCCGAAGUAGAGAAAGCAUGCUCUCAAGUAAUAAGGUAAGUGAUUAAAACUCAAAGUUAUAAAACUGUCCAUACGUUUCUCCUGAUCCAUGGCAAUAUACGCAUCCACACUUUGAGCAACCUUUUCCCACCAAUAACUUUCAGUACCUUUUUCCAAUAGAAUUCCUCCAAUCACCACUAGUGCGAGCGGUAGUCCGCCACAUUCUCUGGCUAUAAGCCUUCCAGGUUGUAUCAACUCCUUAGGGCAUUCCUCUGCACCAAGUGCCUUUCUUUGGAGUAAUAUCCAACUUUCAUCAGAAUUUAGAAAACGCAAAUUAUGGGGCUCCCUGUUGGGGUUGGCAUGCACAGCCACUCUCCUGAUACGACUAGUCAGUAAUAUUUUGCUUCGCUUCUUAUUUCUGGGAAAAGCAAUUUUGAGAUCAUUCCAGGCAUCUUCAGUCCAGACAUCAUCCAUGACAAUUAAAUACUUCCCUUUCUCCAGGAAUUCACGAAGUUCCUUAGCUAUUUUUUCAUCAUUCAUCUUAUACAUCUCAUCACUUGGCUUAGCAAAAUGACUCCAAAUAUUGAGAAACACUUCCUUUCUAUUAUAUUCUUGAGAAACAUAAACCCAUGCUCGGUUAUAGAAUUCAUAUUCAAUUUUAGGAUCACGAUAUAUCAUUUUUGCCAGUGUUGUCUUUCCAAGGCCAGGCAUGCCAAUAAUUGAUAUAACUUCGAGUUCAUCAGGUCCUCCCAUGAGUAGAUUAGUAACAGUUUUUGCCUCAUCUUCAAAUCCCACCACAUUGUCUUCCUCUACAAUGGGAGCCUAUAUUAUAGUGAAAAAUGUUUAUUUCAGAAUCACAAAUAAUUAAAGAAUUGAUUUAAGGUUGUUCAUCUAAUUCUACUCAAUAUCUGAAAUAUCUAAAAGAUGAGUUCCUACCUUUUAGCUGGUGUCAUUUGAGAAUUUCAGAAAGUUCUCAGUUAUACAUUUCGGAAAAAUUUUACGCACUAGACUACAAAUAAGUUUCAAUAGUAUGCAAGAUAAUAGCAAGAAAACUCCUGCCUGCAGAACUUGUUAUCUUGGACUUCUACUUCGUACAACAGAAUUCAGAAUCACAUUAAGGAAUAUGAUUCAUGUCCAUACUUAGCGAUGGAGCAUGUAAAAAGAUAAGUUUUAUGUACAUUCAGAAAAAAGAAACUUGGAAAUCCUAACAAUUGUUUGACAUACCAGUUUAGUAAUAAAAAGGAAAGUUUUUUAUGGUGCACCAAUUUUGAAGAAUUAAUUCAAUCUGGAUCUUCAUAUAAAAUUUUGCUCCUUGAGUUCUCAAUGGUAGUACAAUUAUGAAGCCAGGAGAGUAACUAGAUUAAAAAAUGUUUUACCUGUGAAGGAAGCAUUUUUGAGCUCGAAGGAAUGGAGGUCAUUGAUCUGGAGGAUAAACGGAGAGCUUAAAUACAAUGCCUUUGUUGCCUUGCUUCUCAGCCUCAUCUUUCAUCGUUUUCUUAUACUGCUGGAUUUUCCGGGCAGAAGCAGCAGCUGAUUUGGUGGUACAGUACAAGUCAAUUAUC